rnacentral:rRNA from 1 species
GGNAAAUUUUAAAGAUAUGUCCCGCCCUAUGAUUAGUUAAAUGGCUGCAGUAUAUUGACUGUGCAAAGGUAGCAUAAUAAUUAGUCUUUUAAUUGAAGGCUUGAAUGAAAGGUUAUAUGAGAAAUUUUUUUUAUUUAUUUUAAUUUUAGAAUUUUCUUUUUAAGUAAAAAAGCUUAUUUUUUUUUUUGGGACAAGAAGACCCUAUAGAACUUUAUUUUUUAUUAUUUUAAUAAAUGUUUUUGGUUAAUAUUUUAUAUUUAGUAAAUUUUUUUGUUGGGGGGAUAAGUAAAUUGAACUUUAUUAAAUUAUUUCAUUUAUUUAUGUUUAUUAAGAUCCUUUGUUAUGAUUUUAAGAUUUAGUUACCUUAGGGAUAACAGCGUAAUUUAAAUGGUAAGUUCAUAUUUAUAUUUAAGUUUGCGACCUCGAUGUUGAAUUAAGAUUAGAUUAGGGGGCAG